rnacentral:rRNA from 1 species
CGAGCGGCGAACGGGUGAGUAAUGCAUCGGAACGUACCCUGUCGUGGGGGAUAACUAUCCGAAAGGAUGGCUAAUACCGCAUACGACCUGAGGGUGAAAGCGGGGGAUCGCAAGACCUCGCGCGAUAGGAGCGGCCGAUGCCGGAUUAGCUAGUUGGUGAGGUAAAGGCUCACCAAGGCGACGAUCCGUAGCUGGUCUGAGAGGACGACCAGCCACACUGGGACUGAGACACGGCCCAGACUCCUACGGGAGGCAGCAGUGGGGAAUUUUGGACAAUGGGGGAAACCCUGAUCCAGCCAUUCCGCGUGAGUGAAGAAGGCCUUCGGGUUGUAAAGCUCUUUCGGCAGGAACGAAACGGUGGGGGCUAAUAUCCCUUGCUAAUGACGGUACCUGAAGAAGAAGCACCGGCUAACUACGUGCCAGCAGCCGCGGUAAUACGUAGGGUGCGAGCGUUAAUCGGAAUUACUGGGCGUAAAGCGUGCGCAGGCGGUUUUGUAAGACAGAUGUGAAAUCCCCGGGCUUAACCUGGGAACUGCGUUUGUGACUGCAAGACUCGAGUGUGGCAGAGGGGGGUGGAAUUCCACGUGUAGCAGUGAAAUGCGUAGAGAUGUGGAGGAACACCGAUGGCGAAGGCAGCCCCCUGGGUCAACACUGACGCUCAUGCACGAAAGCGUGGGUAGCAAACAGGAUUAGAUACCCUGGUAGUCCACGCCCUAAACGAUGCCAACUAGGUGUUGGGGAAGGAGACUUCCUUAGUACCGUAGCUAACGCGUGAAGUUGGCCGCCUGGGGAGUACGGUCGCAAGAUUAAAACUCAAAGGAAUUGACGGGGACCCGCACAAGCGGUGGAUGAUGUGGAUUAAUUCGAUGCAACGCGAAAAACCUUACCUACCCUUGAC